rnacentral:lncRNA from 1 species
GGUUUCCUGGGAAUUGGAUGCUGAGAUGAAAAGCAUAUGAGUAGCUUUCUUCCAACAUUCUUCUUGGUGAUUAACCGACUAUCCAAGUACAAAGUUGCUCCUAAUUAACCCUGAGGACCCCAAUAUAAAGGUAGGUGGAAUGAAUUAAAGUGUUUAAAAAAGAGAAAAAAUAAUUCUCCUGAAUUAACUGUUAUCGUUAAACAAUAUCUGG